CAAGGGGCCGGGCCCUGCACAGCGCCCUGGGGAAGCUGGUUUGAAAGCUCUGGAGCGACCCCAAUGCCGGAUAUUUACGUAAUUUCGAAGCAGCUCUUCACAAAAUAUUCAUCAGUUACAGAAGGAAGUCACUUCACAGUGGAAAAAUCUGGCAGGUGCCACCUUAAUCAAGUAACCAAAAUGAACAUCAUCAGUAAUAGGACAAAUUGCAAUCGUGUGCCUCCUGAUAGUCUAGCAAGAAGAACACAGCAUCACUUCUAUGAUGCUCCUGCCAAUAAUAUAUAAUUGGAAUCUAAUCCUAAAGCAACAAAUUCAAAUUAAGGAAAAUUCUACAAAAUAAUUGGCCUGUAAUAGAAGUGUUAAAGGUCAUGAAAGUUAAGGAAAGACUGAAGAACUGUUCCAGACUGAAGAUGAAAGAGAUGUGAGAAAUAAGUGCAGUGGUGAUUCUGAACUGGAUCCUGACUUGGCAAAACUUGAAUAGGUCUGUUGGUUGGAUGGUAGAAAUAUAGUAAUGUUGAUUUCCUGAUUUUUGCUAGCUAUAUUACAAUUUUAUUGGAUUCAGUCCUUGUUUACAGAAGACACACAGUAUGUAGGGGUUAUAAGAAGUCAGCUCAGGAACUUUCAAAUCAUUUAGCAAAACAAAAGUUCUUCGUACUUUAAUUCCAAGACUUCUAUAAAUUUGAGAUUAUUUUUAAAAUACUUAAAAAAAACUCCUUUAAAGUCUCUCAA
rnacentral:lncRNA from 1 species